GGCGCUAUAGUGUAGUGGUUAUCACUCGGGAUUUUGAAGAGGCGCGUCUGCCUUUAAAUCUUCCCGAAACCCAGGUUCGAACCCUGGUAGCGCCU
rfam:Coprinopsis cinerea okayama7#130 chromosome 3 cont3.3, whole genome shotgun sequence.